UACAGAGACUGCAAGCGUUAUUCGGAUUCACUGGGCGUAAAGGGUGCGCAGGCGGCCAAGUGUGUGAGGCGUGAAAGCCUGGGGCUUAACUCCAGAAUUGCGCCUCAAACUACAUGGCUAGAGCAUUGGAGAGGGUAGCGGAAUUCACGGUGUAGCAGUGAAAUGCGUAGAUAUCGUGAGGAACACCAGAGGCGAAGGCGGCUACCUGGACAAUUGCUGACGCUCAGGCACGAAAGCGUGGGGAGCAAAAGGG
rnacentral:rRNA from 1 species